UCAAUAAACCCAAACAAAUUUCACUCCAAACAAAAUUCGUCCAAAAAAAUGGAGAGAAAGAAGAGUGAGAUCUAAUGAAACCCUAGAUCUACUUGCCGCCACCGUAUUCAUCUAUUCGCUAUUGUCACCAUCAAGCUCACCGUAGCAUCUGAGAUCAGAGGGAGAGUAAGCUCGUCGUUACUACCAUUCAUCGUCGCUGCUGCCAUUUAUGUCCUCGUCGUUGUCGCCAUGAAGCUUCUACAUCUUCCGAACCCUAUCCUCCCUCCAGAGACACCAGAUCCAUCUCUACGUUCACGCUAUUCUCCAAUGGAACAAGCGCAUGAAUCUCACUGCAGUCAAAGACGCCGACGAAGUCAUGGAGAGGCACAUCGAGGACUCGCUCGAGAUCCUCCCUCCUCUUAGGAAUUGCUACCGCACGCGCUGUGGCAGCGCGCUGUCACAUGAGAAGCUUAGCCUCGUGGAUGUUGGAACAGGUGCUGGUAUUCCUGGAGUUGUUUUUGCCAUAGCUUGUCUAGAAUGGAAAGUUACGCUGAUGGAGUCCAUGAACAAGAGAUGCGUAUUCUUGGAGCAUGUUGUUGGAAUCAUCGGUUCAUCAACUAUCCAGAUAAUAAGAGAAAGAGCAGAGGUAACACACACGCUUUCAUAUUCUUGUAUUAUGAAACUGUCCUUUUUGAAAUUUUAAUUUCAGUUUCUUAUGUAGUUAAGGUAUUGGAAUUUGAAACGUAAUCUCCCUUACCAUUUUUAAUGCAUGUGGUGUUAUUUUGAACCCACUUGUUGUUUGUUCUAGUGUGUGGUAUGAUAACAUUCUUAAUUUAUGAAUGUGCAAAGGAAAAAGAAAAAUAAGAGAAUAACAAGGUUUUUUCUGAAUAACUAGGAUGCUUUUGGUGAUGCUGCUCUUGAACUUGGUAAAUUGCUGGUAAUUUUUAUCAUACUAUAUUGUUUAUCAAUUCAUUAUUAUGAAUAUACUU